rnacentral:lncRNA from 1 species
AGUGUUUGUAAAAGGUACUAUGUGAUGACAUUGUGUAACUGAAAGCCUCUUUUUAUUGACAGGUCAUGAAAACUCAAGGCUGGAGAAAUUUCUCUGUGUCGGACUGCAGAGUUACACUCCCCACAGCCUGAAGGAAUGAACUUCCAGGAGGAAAAAUGGUCCACAUCAGGCACCUGUCUGCAGUUUGCAUGGGAGGAAGCAAUGUGGAAAUUGGAUGCAGCCAUGAAGAGGUGGUCAUGAGCACCUGCACUGCUCCCCUGGGCAGGAGACCUGCCAGGAAUGAGGAAUGAGGAGCUGCUGUCUUCCCAGAGAAAAGACUCCAGCUCAAGUAGCACAUGGGCAGUCAUGCCUUAGUAACAGUCAGGAGAACCAACUCAAGACAGACACAUUUCCAUCAUGAACAGAGCCUUGUCAAGCCCCUCUGCCAACAGGCACUCCACACUUCAUCAGGCAGUUUUUCUCAGGGAUUCUGAGAAAAUUCUCAGGGAUUCUGAGAAGAUUCAAACAGAACUUUGCUGUCUCUUAACACCUCUAGCUGCAGAUCUGUGUAUUACUGCAGAAGCAUCCCACUGGGAAAAGGCUGCAUAAGUUCUGGCCACCGUGUAAAUCCCACGCUGACGACUCACUUGGAAAGAAGAAAAGACACAAAAUGUUGUGCUGGCUCUCUAAGUGAAGGUAAGUGUUGUCCUACAUAAACAGUAAUGAGAGCAAAGCUAAAUGGUGCCCAAAUCCUGUUUCAGGAGCAAACCAU